GAUGAACGCUGGCGGCGUGCCUAAUACAUGCAAGUCGAGCGAACAGACGAUGAUCUUUCUCCUCUGACUUUAGCGGCUGACGUGUGAGUAACACGUGGAUAACCUACCUAUAAGACUGGGAUAACUUCGUGAAACCGGAGCUAAUACCGGAUAAUAUAUUGAACCGCAUUGUUCAAUAGUUAAAGACGGUUUUUCUUUCACUUAUCGCUUGUUCCGCGCCGCAUUAGCUAGUUGGUAAGGUAACGGCUUACCAAGGCAACGAUGCGUAGCCGACCUGAGAGGGUGAUCGGCCACACGGGAACUGAGACACGGUCCAGACUCCUACGGGAGGCAGCAGUAGGGAAUCUUCCGCAAUGGGCGAAAGCCUGACGGAGCAACGCCGCGUGAGUGAUGAAGGUCUUCGGAUCGUAAAACUCUGUUAUUAGGGAAGAACAAAUGUGUAAGUAACUAUGCACGUAUUGACGGUACCUAAUCAGAAAGCCACGGCUAACUACGUG
rnacentral:rRNA from 1 species